CGCUCGCCGCCUCUUUGUCUGCUCCGGGACUUGGAACAAAAGGGGGAACUUGAUGAACUCUCCUCCUCCCCUCUUCCCCGGACGCCCGGGUAUCUCCCUCUCACAACUUUGCCGACGCGACUUUCUCCGCUGUCAGGCCACCCGAAAGUGUCCGAGCGCCUCGCGGGACUGCGUCGAGGGAAACAGUGUCCCUUGAAAGUGCGACGGAGGGGAGAAGGAGGUGUGAUUAAUAUGAGCAUCUGGGAGCGUGGAGCAGGGCCUGCAGUACUUCCUACCACUGGCCUUCCGUGUUCUGGAUCAUUCUUACUGGAUCUAUCAGCAAACAGCAUGCAAGUGCCAGCGUCCAAUCAUUCCUGCAUGGAAUGCCAUCAGACUUCCUCAGUUGGAGUUACUUAAAAGUUAAAUUGUUGGGAUUUUUGAUAAUGCCUUUCCCAUGUGGAUUACUACAAUUUGAUGGCUCAGGAACUCUCCACUCAGAAGGUGACCUGACCGCAGAAGUGCUAACUCCUGUUUAUUCAGGAAAGACUUCCGACUGGGGAAGACUUCCAGGUGCAGCAUUUCUGGUUCCUUCGAGAGGGUGAGGAGAGCCUGCAGGCAUGCUGUGCACCUCUGCAAUUGCUAGUCCCAGGGUCACAGCAAGUGGAAGUGCAGAGCACCACAAACUGCUUUGAGCAGAGCCCACUUCCUUCAUCCCGGAGAGCAUGGAGCCGUUACACCAACAUCAAUCAAGGGGGACCCAGGCGCUGCACUCACACAGUUGAAGCAGGGGAGCAAAUCGAAGACUCACCCAGGAGCAGAGUGCUUUUGAGACAGAGGAAGAAGACAAAACAGCUCCCAGCUCAGCUUCUCUUGCCAUAUUCAGGAAUCACCACACGUGCUGUUAUAUUGGGCCUCAUUUUGUUUCCCUUUCCCCAACACCUGUGUGCUGUGCUUGUGGUGAGUCUUCACAGCCAAGUACAAUUUUUCCAGUUCAACUCCACUGAUCACUAUCAACAAGAAAGUGUAAGAGCUCAGAAGUCAUCUUGGAGGCCCCAGGCGAAGACCAGUCCUGCAACCUUGGAAGGCAGCUAUGGUCACCACUAUACCACCAACGCCACACCAGUCAUGCAACCUUGGGAUGUGCAGGGUUUGGGCAGCCAAGGCUUGCUGCACUAACCCUUUGCUGCAUGUGUUUCAACAGUGCCAUUUACUUGAUGAAUGUCUCUUUUCCGGCAGAUGACAUGAGAACAGUGCUUGUAACUGUUUCUGCUCAGCAUGAUAUUCAGAACCCUUAACAUGGUUACUGACAUACAGGAGGUGUCUGUAUUUGUUGAAUAAAUGAAUAAAGGAGUAAUGUCUACUUUCUGUUGUCAUUAUUUCCUUUCAUAAUAUACCAUAUUCCAUG
rnacentral:lncRNA from 1 species